UACGUAGGGUGCGAGCGUUAAUCGGAAUUACUGGGCGUAAAGCGAGCGCAGGCGGUCGUGUAAGACAGGUGUGAAAUCCCCGGGCUUAACCUGGGAACUGCAUUUGUGACUGCACGGCUAGAGUGUGUCAGAGGGAGGUGGAAUUCCGCGUGUAGCAGUGAAAUGCGUAGAGAUGCGGAGGAACACCGAUGGCGAAGGCAGCCUCCUGGGAUAACACUGACGCUCAUGCUCGAAAGCGUGGGGAGCAAACAGG
rnacentral:rRNA from 1 species